rnacentral:rRNA from 1 species
UACGGAGGAUGCAAGCGUUAUCCGGAAUUAUUGGGCGUAAAGCGUCCGCAGGUGGCAAUGUAAGUCUGCUGUCAAAGCGUCUGGCUCAACCAGAUAAAGGCAGUGGAAACUACAUAGCUAGAGUAAGGUAGGGGUAGAGGGAAUUCCUGGUGUAGCGGUGAAAUGCGUAGAGAUCAGGAAGAACACCGGUGGCGAAAGCGAUCUGCUGGACCGUAACUGACACUGAGGGACGAAAGCUAGGGGAGCGAAUGGG